rnacentral:misc_RNA from 1 species
CCCCAAUGGGUUCUCCGGAUUUCUGGAGACUUGUAGGGGUUGUGGGCUUUUUUCGAUGUGUCGUCUCCGGACGGGCGGUGCAGGGUAGUCGAGUUAGACUUGGUGGAAUUCCGUCGAUAGGAGUUCCGUCGAGUCUGGUCGGCUGUGUGUUGGACGGUGCAGGGUAGGCUGCUUGGACAUGGUCGGUUCGAGGACCGAUUCGAGGGCCGGCCUGUCGAUGAUGUGUGAUGUAUGCGGUCUAGGGUAGGCUGGUUUGUCUUGGUUCAAUUUGAUGUCGGCUCCCGUGCAGGCCAGAGUGAAGGGGGGUCCAGGGUAGGUACAGGGUAGGCAGCUUAGAUUUGGUCGAUCUGGAGGUCGAUUCUCCGGCUGGCGGAUCUGACACUGUCGAAACGAGAUGCGAGCGGUGUAGGGUAGGCUAGUUUCGUCCUCGCCAGGUUGCGAUUCGGACGAGAUAUGUGGUCUAGGGUAGGCUCUAGGGUAAGUAGAACUCUAGUUUCGUCGCCGACAGUUUUCUUUGGGUGUAUGGUAGGUACAGGGUAGGCAAAUCUCUCUCCGGCCGGUACUUGUCUGGUGGUCGUGAGUCGAUUUUUUUGUUUUGCCAUACUAUUGAAUUUUGCGGAAAUUCAAAAGUGGCUCGGGAGUCCCGUCUGGCGUGCGUCCGACUCGAACAUCGUCGGUAUACAUAUGAGAGGGAGUAAUCCGGCCCGGCCGGGGCCCAUCGCGAGCUGCCGGGUAGGUAAAAGUAAAAAAGUUGUUAAGAGGCGCGGUGUCGGCGUGCUUGUAUUUGCGGGAGAGAAUUAUCUGGAGGUGCUGGGUAGCCGGGAAGACUUGGACGGAUCUGGCCCGGGAAUGGGUCUGGGCCUGGAUUCUGGAGUGGUGUAGGGUAGGCGUAGAUAGAUGAGUGGUCUAGGGUAGAUACAGGGUAGCCAGAAGUCUAGUAUAUAGUAUGGGGGUGUAGGGUAGGUCUGGACACCGUUUUCCACUUCGCCCUUCCCUUUACUCGAGGGAGGACGAUCUUGGCUGGCACGGCGGUGUAGGGUAGGCUUAAUUAACGAUUACAUGAUCUGUGUCACUCUAGGGUAGGUGAACAUCCCAUACAUAUCUGAUCACAUUUGGUGAAGAGGUGGUUUGGCUGGAGAGAUACACAAAAGUGCAAUGUACAAUUAUAUGUGAUUUUG